rnacentral:tRNA from 1 species
GCCGGGGUAGCUCAGUGGUAGAGCAAACGGCUCAUAAUCGUUAGGCCGAGGGUUCGAUCCCCUCCCCCGGCA